UCCCGCCUCUCUCCUCACUUCCGCCCUUCAGGGUGGCGGAGCGGCUGUCAGUCUUCAAGGUCUUGGGAAGGUGCGUUGGGCCAACUACAGAGACCCGGAAGCUGUAACAGUCGGUGAAGGUCCAAUUUAGACUCUGGGACUUAGUCCCUUAAACCUGUGUUAAAAUCUUACUUCGGUGGCACAGUGGCUGAUGGGCACAGGACACACCUUGAAAUCACUAAAUGCCACUUGAGCUGCUGGAGACACAGCAUAGAAUCCUCUAGCAUUUGACAUGCCUGUUCCUUCUUCGCCUUCUAUCAUGAUUGCAAGCUUCUGAGGCCUCCCUAGAAGCCAAGCAGAUGCCUGCGUCAUGUUCCCUGUAAAGCCUACAGAACUGUGAGCCAAUUAAACCUGAUUUCUUUAUAAAUUACCCAGUCUCAGUAUUUCUUCAUAGCAAUACAAGAGUGGCCUAAUGCAAUAGCCAAAUAAGUUGAUUGUGGAAAGCAAAGUUGGCAUUUAUUUUUUAAAUAUCUUUUUUUCUUUUUUUUUUCUUCAAGAUGGGGUUUCAUCAUGAUUGCCAGGCUGGUCUUGAACUCCUAACCUCAGGUGAUCCACCCACCUCGGCCUCCCGAAGUGCUAGGAUUACAGGCGUGAGCCACCGUGCCCAGCUGCAGAGUUGGCAUUUAAUAUUUGUUUUCCAGAUGGAAAAGGAGUGCAACUCAAUGAGAUUUAUAGUGAUGAGACCAGGUACAGUGGCUCACACCUGUAAUCCUAACACCUUGGGAAACCAAGGCAGGUGGAUCAUGAGUUCAUGCGUUCAAGAUUAGCCUGGUCAAUAUGGCGAAACACCAUCUCUACUAAAAAUACAAAAAUUAGCUGGGCAUGGUGGCGCACACCUGUAAUCUCAGCUACUUAGGAGGCUAAGGCACGAGCAUCGCUUGAACUCAGGAAGUGAAGUACGGUAAGCUGAGAUCUCACCAUUGCACUACAUCCUGGGCAACAGAGCAAGACUCUGUCUCAAAAAAAAAAAAAAGAUAUUGAUGGACUGCAUAUGUACAAAAGGUGACACAUGAGAAGGCCAUCACUUGCACUCCAAUUUGGUGAAACAGAAUACAGAAAAAGUGUUGUGGUCACUAAAAUAGUGCUCUCCAUACACUGCCCAUCUCAGAGGAGACUUGUUCAGCCAUGAAAAACAGGGUAACCCAGAGGAGGAAGAUGAGUUCAUUAGGGAGGUACAGGAAAUCACUGAGAGCAACAUUUGGGGGCUGGGAAAGGUGGUUCAUACCUGUGAUAUCAGCACUUGGGAGACAAGGCAGGAGGAUCACUUGAGCCCAGUUCAUGAGCAGCCUGGGCAACAUGGUGAACCACUCCUCACCACAAAAAUAUUCAAAAAAAAUUAGCCAGGCAUGGUGACUCGUGUCUGUACUCGUAGCUACAUAGGAGGUUCAGAUGGGAGGAUCACCUGAGCCUGAAGAGGUUGAGGCUGCAGUGAGCCGUGAUCGCACCACCUCCCUCCAGCCUGGGCAACAGAGCAAGACCCUAUCUCAAAAAAAAAAAACAAAGAUAAAAAGAUUUGGCACUUGUUUCCUUCUAAUUCCUAGAGUUUGGGGCAGGAGGGAGAAAAGUAUGGCCAAACAGGCUAUCUCACUGAAGUGGAGUCCCUCAGAAGAGCCGAAUGCUUUCUAGCAAAUAGGACAACCUCCCAGAAAAUCUCACUGUCCCAAAGCCCUCGUACUCCCAUUGUCAGAUACUCUGUAUGUUUAGUCUUGAACUAGAGAUUAGCAACAUCCAUUUUGUGGUUGUGGCCUUCAUGAAUCAUGCCUCUCUAUUGUGUAAUGUUACGAUUCCUGCCAUCCAGAAGUGGAGUCUGUUUCCUCACUCCUUGAAUCUGGGGUAACCUUGUGACUUGCUUUCACCCAAAGAACGCAGUAGAUGUGUCAUUCUAGGACUUUCAAGAUCUGGCAUCUUCCACUUUUGUUCUCAGGGCUCAGCCUCCAAGUAGAAAAGCUCAAGGCUACCCUGCUGGAGAAAGAGAUCACUUUUUUUUUCUUUUUUCUUUUCUUUUUUUUUUUAAAGAGACGGGGGUUUCAUCGUGUUGGCCAGGCUGGUCUCGAACUCCUUACCUCAGGUAACCCGCCCAUCUCGGCCUCCCAAAGUGCUGGAAUUACAGGCGUGAGCCACCACGCCCAGCCAGAGAUCACAUUUUGUUUAAGAACAAGUUGUUAGGCCGGGCAUGGUGGCUCCUAUCUGUAAGCUCAGCAGUUUGGAAGGCCAAGGCGGAAUUCAAGACCAGCCUGGCCAACAUGGUGAAACCCCAUCUCUACCAAAAAUGCAAAAAUUAGCCAGACAUGGUGGCGUGCCACUGUAUUCCCAGCUACUCAGGAGGCUGAAGUGGGAGAAUUGCUUGAACCCGGGAGGCAGAGGCUGCAGUGAGCCAAGACUGCAUCACUGCACUCCAGUCUGGGCGAUAGAGUGAGACCCCUUCUCAAAAAUAAAAACAAUUAUUAGUUAAAUACUUACCAAUCUUGAAAGGGAAUGAAGUAUUUCACUCUCUUUCCUAGCCUUUACAUUUUAAAACAUGCAAAUAUCACUGUGUAAA